rnacentral:rRNA from 1 species
UACGGAGGGUGCAAGCGUUGUUCGGAUUUACUGGGCGUAAAGCGCGCGCAGGUGGGUGACCAAGUCGGAAGUGAAAUCCCAGGGCUCAACCCUGGGGCUGCUCCCGAAACGGGUCGCCUAGGGACUGGUAGAGGCUGGUAGAAUUCCCGGUGUAGCGGUGGAAUGCGUAGAUAUUGGGAGGAGCACCGGUGGCGAAGGCGGCUACCUGGACCGGUUCUGACGCUGAUGCGCGAAAGCGUGGGUAGCAAACAGG